rnacentral:rRNA from 1 species
AGCGAACGCUGGCGGCAGGCUUAACACAUGCAAGUCGAGCGGGCACUUUCGGGUGUCAGCGGCGGACGGGUGCGUAACGCGUGGGAACGUGCCCUCUGGUUCGGAAUAACUCAGGGAAACUUGAGCUAAUACCGGAUACGCCCUUUUGGGGAAAGGCUUGCUGCCGGAGGAUCGGCCCGCGUCUGAUUAGCUAGUUGGUGAGGUAACGGCUCACCAAGGCGACGAUCAGUAGCUGGUCUGAGAGGAUGAUCAGCCACACUGGGACUGAGACACGGCCCAGACCCCUACGGGGGGCAGGAGGGGGGAAUAUUGGACAGGGGGCGAAAGCCUGAUCCCGCCAGGCCGGGUGGGUGAUGAAGGCCUUGGGGUUGAAAAGCUCUUUUACCCGGGACGAUAAUGACGGUACCGGAGAAAAAAGCCCCGGCUAACUGCGU